rnacentral:ncRNA from 2 species
CAUCGUGUGGAAGGUCGCCCCGCGAAACAGCAAGCGGGGGCACCGGUGGAGUAAUCUGCCGGUGACGCAAGACGGCAACAGAGAACAGUCCCGCCGGAUUUCCGGUAAGGGGUGAAACGGUCGGGUAAGAGCCGACCGGCGUCGGCAGUAAUGCCGGCGGCCAGGCGACUGCGCCGACUGAUGGGGAGCAAGGUGCGUGGGGCGGGCCAAGGGUGGGAGAAUACAUUGCUGAUGUUCGUCGAACCACCCCGUUCGCUCGCAUCGCCGCCACGACGACAAUCCGGGUAACGCCCGGUGCGUUAGGAGUGGCCGCUGCCCGGCAGCGAGAGAGAUGACGGCUUA